CAAGAUUUCUCUGCUCUAAGCGUCGCACAAGUAACGAGUUCUGGCAGCCAGGGCGCAAAAAGCACUGAACUGCAAACAGCAGUUACAUUUGUGGCAGAAAUUUGUGCAUUUGUUUCGGGUUUUCAAGGGUCUUCCUUUGGCUUUUCGGCUCUUUCCGGACGCGAGACCGCAUGGACUAUGGAACGACAGACUGCGCUCCCCUAUACAAGGAGAUUAGAACUUGGUUCCAUUAAACUAAGAUCCUCCAACGUGAUACCUUACCCGUACGAGCGCACUAGACAGACAGCCGCCCACAUAAUUUGGGUUGUUGAGUGGCUAGACUGAACCUUCUUGCGGUUGGCAAAAAAAAUGGUGGCAAACGUGCCACGAAAAGAGCAGAAACAAGGCCUGUUUCCAGGCUGGAAACUUGCAGAUGAAACGGAAGAGUUCAAGCCCACUUAGAAGGGGAAAGGGUCCAGCUACGAAGAGAUACCGCAGAGAAGACAAGCGUACAUUGACAUGCAAAUUUGUCGCGAUAUGAUCAGCAAGGAGGGAAACAGUUUCAUGAUGAGAGCGUUGUUCUGAGGAGGAAAUGAGAAAUCCUUAAUCUCCAAAAUGGCAAUCGCACAUACCAAACUUUGUUCAACAUGAAGCACGACUUUUCCCGUGUGCCGACAGGACGUCUGCUUCUCUGUUUUUCUCGUAGUCCAAAGACCAAGAGAUCGAAGGAACCCGGUCAGACGAGUUAUUGCCGAAGCCGUACUACCCUUGAAUCGAUAUUUCGUCUUGGAAGCGUAUUCAAAGACAGAUACCCCCAAAAGUUGGUGGAGAAAGAGACUUUUUAUCUCCUAUUUUAUGGACAGUAAUGGAUUUGCGGAGACACAUGGCUGCUGUUGGUUGUUGUUUCUGUUCCACUUAUAUUACCAUGAUCAACUCAUGUACGUUUUGCAGUAACCGCUUUUGCUGCUCCCUGUUUCGUACGCCGUGGUGACUUUCUUGUAUUGUGUCUACACCUUUGCCAACCCACGGACAUCGUUUUUUCUCGUUCUACCUCAUUGAAACACAGUAACUAGGAUUUGUUUCGAUCAUCUGAAUCUCUUUGUGUUCCUCGAUUUCCACAGAGGGUAGAGUCGAGAAACUCCCUUUAAUGUAUUUUUCCCCCCGUGUUUCGGGUUCAUGUGCCACUACUGUGGUGAGCUCUGGUCGUGCUGUCUGCGGUGAUGCGCCUCCUUGGUCAGUCGUAUCCCUUAGUGUAUCGGAUUCGCCUUCUUCAUCUCUGUCCUGUUCUUCGAUGUCAUCUUCUGGGUUUUCUUCUUGCGGUGUUCGCGGUUCCUUCAAAUGCUGCUUCUUUCUCUUCGCCUUCCGUGCACGGGUGCAUUGUGUACUUCCUCUACUGAUGGACACUGCGUCUAAUCCCGCCUCUUCACGGCCUUCUUGGUAUUCGAUUUCAUCCCUUUUUCUGUGCAGGAACUUCCUCAUCUUCCCUGCUGCACCAAUGAUCCCAACGUUUGAUCGUUCUUUCCCUCUAUCUGCGCUAUCCUCUUCGUUGCCUUCUUUUUCCCUCUCGACGGGUGUUUGCCCGUGCUCAAGCACCUUGUCUUUUCCGGCCUUUGACGGGUGCGAAUCAGAGUCAUCUUGACCUAGAUGUUUCCGCAGUUGUCCUUCUAGCUCUACUUCGAGAGGUGUCUGAUUGUCGUUUCCCAUGAAAAUGGAGGAUUUAUGUUCAAUCUGACUCCUGAUCUGUUGAGUUGUGCUCGUGCCCUUGUUUCCUGCAGAGAGAGGAUGAUCCGGUUGGCUCUGGGUAGAGUGUUUCUCCUUCAGUUUCCCUUCUACGUGCCCGCGUUUAUCUUCCUCCUUUGUUCUUGCACACUCCCCUUGCCUUCGUUUGGCCCCUGUCUCCCGUUGUUCCUUCAUGAUAUGCGGUUUUGACUUCGUGACUGCUGAAGCAGAUUGGUUGUUGUCGGCGAUACCCGUAGUCGAGGACCGCGACCCCUCGACCCCUUUCGUCUUGGAAACCAUGUCUUUUUUAGACGCAGUGGCUUCUCCUUCUCCUGCCCAAAUUUCUGCGUUCCCUGCCGCUGCCUGCCGCUGAUAUUCUUGCCUUUUUUGUUUCUUUGCUUGUUUGCGUAAACUGCGUUUUUCCUUCUUGCUCAACUUCGCUGCGUGACUCGUGGCCGAUUCCCCGAACAGAGACGUUUCUGCCGAGUCAGCCUUUCCCUGAAGUUUAUCUUGGAUCCCAGGACCUCUUGCGUCUUCGGCAAACGAUUGUGGCGUUACAGAAUGCGCCUCAACAUUUGUGUCUCCUUUCUUCUUCUUCCUCGUUCUCCGACCAAAGAAACCCAUUGCUGCUGUGGCACCGACGGCUGCUUUCGUAAAAGCCCCCCCGAGUAGUUUUCUCUGAGGCAUCUUCGUUAUUUUGUGUGAGUGCUGUGUGUCGUGUGCCUGAACAGAAUUUUUCGCUUCCGAUCCCUGCUUAAGACUCGGCAUCUUCGGUGCUUUUAGUUUCGCGGGAACCCUGAUUUUCGGCAUCUUUAUUCGCUUAGCCUUGAGUGUACUUUUCUGGAGACCGUGUGCUCGCUUUGUCCAAUUCAGGGCGCUAGGGCAACGACCGAAGCAUGCAACGCAUGCAGAACAACAGUACUUGCUUAUUUGUGCGAGCCGUUUCGAGAGGCUACCAGAGGCUCGGCUGGAGCAACGGAGAACUCCUCCGCACUUCGCUCUGAGGAAGCGCAUGCAUGCCUUGCACGAUUUGCUGAGGAUCCGAGCGAAUCCCCCGCACGCUUUUACGAGACAGGAACAGUACGUUCGCAAGAAGAAGGCGAGAGCGGAAGCGAAACGCCGUGCAAAACCACAGAAGCAACUAAGCCCGACGCGGAGGAAAGGCAAAAGGACGGGACCGAAGAAGACGAGGAGGACUCCCGCCACAACGACUGCGAGGAUAGACACAAUCGUCGCCUUCAAGGCUGCGAAACACGUCCGAACUGCAAAGAGCCAGACAGAAAACAAAGAGAAGGGGAGGUUAAAGAACAGUUGUGCCUUUUCCGAAGAUGAAGAUCCACUGGGGGAAGAAGCGAGUGGCAAACUGAUGGAACAACUGAAGACGUGAGGAGUACAGCAUUCUGCCAGUAAUUUACUUCUGUCGAAAACCAACCCGUCUUACGUGUUUGUUCACACGGUCCAUCUCCACAGACUUUUCCAUGGUGACUGGCUAAAGGUGUAGACGUCUGUUUUGUCUGUGGGAAAAAAGGACUCUAUUCUGUAAGGAAAUGGAGGAUCCUUCUACACUGAUCUCGAACACAGAUACACUACGCCACUGCCUCCUGGCAACCCCUCAACUGUACGAGUGACGAGUUAAUGAAUUCUUUGUGGGGUCGUCUGGUGCUCAGACAUCAUACUCAAGGGGAGAAGAGAACAGUGUGUCAAAGGAACGAAAUGGAUAAUCGGACAAAGCAGGCCGCUAAAAGUGUUGGAUUUCAAUAACUUACGACGCUAAAUUUAUUUCGCAGCG
rnacentral:lncRNA from 1 species